rnacentral:lncRNA from 1 species
UAGUGCAGCCCUCUCUCCCUCCACGACUUCGUGACACCUCGUAGCUAGUUCGGUACGACAUGACGAAGCCGUGCCGGAGUAGCUCCACCACCAUCAUCGCCACGCUAUCGUGUUGUCGGAGGAUUCAGAUACCUCUUCGUCUCUCUUGCUGCAUCAAGAAGGCGGAGAUCGUCAUCGAGGUGUACGUGUGGUGAAUGCACAUGUGCCGACCGUUCAGCACUAGAUCGAGAUGGAUCGUGAUGGGAUCGCAGGACAGACCAUGAUGAGAUCGCGGGAUGGGCUGCGAUUUGGAUCGAGAAGAUGUUCCACUACAUCAACCACGUUAUAUAUGCUUCCGCUUAGCGAUCUACAAGGGUAUGUAGAUUCACUCUCCCCUCUCGUAGAUGAUCAUCACCAUGGUUAGGUAUUGCGUGUGCGUAGGAUUUUUUUUGUUUCCCAUGCAACGUUCCCUAACACCGCAGUCCAUGACCCGUCUCUCACGGUGGUUGGAGGCUGGGAGCGUGCGGGUGAGCGCCUAGCGAGCUUCGGAGCCCGAGCUGGCGCAUUCAUGGCACUCCGUGUGGCCAAGUCUUGGUACUUGGAGCUGGAACUGGGACUGCUUGUGACCGAGCGCAUCAGCACGGACGUGGAGCUGGAGGUGGUCACCGACAAGCUGGCCGUGCGGGCCAGCGAUCUUACAGUGUUUGCCCCGUGGGGCGAAUACGUCCCGGAGCGGACAACCGAUGGCAAGGUGAUCCCGGAGGCCCGGUAGCGGCUGGCCCUGGAUGACCCCGAAGGCAGCGCAGACGAGACGAACCUCGAGGGAAUCGACUCCAACGAUGACGCCUAUGCCGAACGCUUGUCGGAGGAGGACACAGGCGAGAAGGCCGACGUGGGGGGUGCUGGUGCCGACGAUGGAGCUUCUACUUCAGCCGCCGUGGGACGCGUCGAGGAUGGGGCCAAGACCGGCUAGGGCCUUUCUUUUUUAUCAUGCAUUAGUUAGUCCAAGGUUCCACCCACCGGGGGUGUGAUGUAAUGAAAU